CCUGAGAAACCCAAAAGAUCGAAUGGGGAGAUUCAUCGUCAGCUCAUUAUAUAUAUAUGCUAGUUGUGAUAUGGGUUACUACUUGUAGUAUUGCCUGUACAUUCUUGUAUAUUUAAUUGUAAGAUGUUGUCGGCGUGCACUUCUCCCCUAGUAGGACGUCGCGACCCGUUGAGUGUUGGUCUACGGCCCAGGUGGGAGCUUUUAAUGAAUUUUAUUCAUUGAAAACCCUUGGUGUUUUCUGACUGGCACUCGUCGGUAUUCGUAUGGUAUUGAGCCGCAUAUUAUAUGCGUCCAUAUCUGUCGCAAGCGAGGUUAGUUACUGAUAGUGCGGACCUAGUGCCGUCGUUGGUGCUAAUCAGCUGUUGGUUGUACAGAAUUCUAGGACUGGCUCGUUGAAAUACCGGUCAGCGAUGCU
rnacentral:rRNA from 1 species